rnacentral:lncRNA from 1 species
AUCUGGGAGGCCACAAACCAUGGAAGCUGUACGCAUGGCGUAGUGGACUAGCGGUUAGAGGAGACCCCUCCCUUGCAAGUCGCAGCAACAAUGGGGGCCCAAGGUGAGAUGAAGCUGUAAUCUCACUGGAAGGACUAGAGG